GAUGAACGCUGGCGGCGUGCUUAACACAUGCGAGUCGAACGGAAAGGCCCAAGCUUGCUUGGGUACUCGAGUGGCGAACGGGUGAGUAACACGUGGGUGAUCUGCCCUGCACUUCGGGAUAAGCCUGGGAAACUGGGUCGAAUACCGGAUAGGACCACUUCUUGGAUGUUGUGGUGGAAAGUUUUUUCGGUGUGGGUUGAGCUCGCGGCCUAUCAGCUUGUUGGUGGGGUAAUGGCCUACCAAGGCGUCGACGGGUAGCCGGCCUGAGAGGGUGUACGGCCACAUUGGGACUGAGAUACGGCCCAGACGCCUACGGGAGGCAGCAGUGGGGAAUAUUGCACAAUGGGCGCAAGCCUGAUGCAGCGACGCCGCGUGGGGGAUGACGGCCUUCGGGUUGUAAACUCCUUUCGCUAGGGACGAAGCUUAUUUUGUGACGGUACCUGGAGAAGAAGCACCGGCUAACUACGUGCCAGCCGCCGCAGUAA
rnacentral:rRNA from 1 species